rnacentral:lncRNA from 1 species
CCAGAUGGCAGAUUAGACAUUCCUAAAGGUUGAAGGUUAUUGACAUGGGAGAAGACGAUGCAACCGCAACCAGAGGAGGCAAAUCAUCAAGGAUGGAUGAGCAGACUAUGAAGGAGAAGUAGUAAGGCCUGAAGACAUACAGCUUGAACAGAAAUAUCCUGAGGAGACCAUAGCACCGAGUCAGGUGUGGAGAGAGAAGAUAGUUAUACAUGAAGAGCAGGCGCCGCCGGAACCACCGACUACGCCAUCCAGCGAAUCCCAGGACGACUGAGAAAACAGAGAGUCCCGUUUGGAGGACUUAAAAACACCAAACGCCUUGCCAAGAGGUAAACUUGGUAGUUAUCCUUUUUCCUUUCAACUAUUUAAAAUAGUUUGCUUAGUUAAUCAGGUUCAUAUCAUCUUGAAAAGAAAAUAAAAAUAUUAAAAAUAGUAAGCCCCAUGUGAUUAUGCACAUGACAUGAAACCCAUAAGUACAUUCACUGUGGUGGCAUAAAAAUAAAAUAAAUAUAUUCCUGUCCUAUAAAAAUGAAAAUAUAAAAAUAAAUUUAUGAUCCUACCAAAGAGUGUAACAUUUAUUGAGGAGGCUCAACAUGAUAAAGGCUAGAUAUUUGUGCUAACACUUAACUAGUUCCACAAAGCUUUGUUGUCUAUUUGAGCUGCACAGAAUUCAAGGAUCAAAGAAGACUAGCAGAUGGAGGACAUCCUAAUCGCUGUGAGGGUGCUGCCGACAUUCAAAUACACCUCUGCCACCUGCUAGCUACAUUAGAAGAAAUUACGUCAAAAUCCAGCUUGGGGGAGAGCACCCCUAUUUAUCCAGCUAAGUGUUCUACUCACCUUUAUACUUUACUCAAAUAGUAAAAAGACGCAUGAUCAUAAAAACCCAAAUAAAGAUUUUGUGCUUAUAUAUAUAUAUAUAUCUUUGCUUAGUUUGCUAAAUAAAUAAAUAAAUAAAGUUUGCUAUGAACCCUCAUGAUAAGCUCUCACAUGGAAAUGAUGAAUAGUUGCUCUGCCAUGACUAGUUCUCAAAAUUGAAAUCUCUCUCAAGUUUAGACAUAACUGUUAUAAUUUAAAGCUUGCUCUAUACCUGAACUUGUGGAAAGAGAACUUGAUCUGAAGUCUAAGUUGUUAACAGAUAUGAUAUGGGAAGGUUGAGCUGUUGUUUAUCUGUUCCUAGAGAUGCUAGAAAACUGGAGAAUUUUAUCUUUGAAAAUCUUUAAAAUAACACAUGAUGAGUUCCUGUAUGAUGAGAGUUUAAAUUCCUACCACAACCAUAUAUACAUGCUUGCUAGACUUUGAGCCACACAUUUAAUUUUCACUGCUUAUGAGCAUUGAGUGUGGUCAAGCUGUGUAGACCCUUAGGAGCUUGUCAUGUGGUGAAAUCAAGAUUCACUUGCACAUUCACUCAUACAUGCUACUUCUACUCCGGAAGUACGCAUCCACAUAUAUCUACCCAUUUCCAUCUCCAGAACCACCCAAAAAUAUUCUACUCCUAAUCCGGGAGAGAAUAGCCAAAAACAUUUCUUGGUUACUACCACUUGCUACAUUAUUUCAAGAGAUGAGUGCUCUAAAAAAGAGAGAAAAAAAAUAUAUGAGGAAAUAAAAAGGGGCAAGUGCCCAGAACCUCGAAAGAAAAGAAAAAAGUGAGACGAGGGGUAAAAAUGGACAAGUGUCCGACAGUAGAAUUAGGGGUACAAGAUACCCACCUGAGAGAAAAGAAAAAGAAAAUAUAGAGCAUAUCAUUCUCCUCAAAAAGUUUGAAAAGAGCAAGAAAGGUAUGUAUCCCCUCAACAGAGCACAAGUAGAAUUAGACUUUCACCAUUGUUAUCACCAUCAUCACCAUACAACAUUCAUUCGCCACACAUGCACAUCUUGAUUUGACUUAUUGACUUGUUCUUCUGGAUCCAUGGUUUGACUAUGCAAUAAAUGUCUUCUAAGUAUGUAUUAGCUGUCUCCCACCUAUGAGCUCCAGAUAUCAAAACCUUAUUAGAGUAGGGUGAGAGAGAAGGCAAUGCCGCUAUGCCUUAUACCAAAAAUACAACAUACUUUGAGAGAAGGCAUACACUAUUACUGCCUUGGUAAGGAUCUAGAAAUACCACAAAAGAGAGACUAGAGAGAGUCAUACAUGGAAUCUCUGAGUUUUAUUUGAAAAUCUGCAAAAACUCCAGAGCUAUAGUUAAUCGAAGAACAAGAGACAUGGCGCUUCACUAGACCGUUCUAUCUUUUAAGUGCUCAAGACACAAGUGACUGUUGCAAGCCCUAUGGUGGAAGGUAAGUUUAAAUCUUAACAGUUUACCCUAACCCAGAGAUGAGAUCUUGUUUGAACGCAUGUGUACCUUUAAGGCAUGAAACCACUGUAGAAACUCUUGAUCCAUCUUUGCUCAGGGACAAGCAAAGGUUAAGCUUGGGGGAGCUUGUUGACGGUCCUUAAUGCUCAUAUUUAACCAUCAACUAAUCAUAGAAAAGGAUCCAAAUGCAACCAACACCCAGACUUAGGGUUUUAUCUGACAAAAUUCCACGAGUUUUGUUGUUUGUCUAUUUCUACAGGGGGUUAUCAGGCAAUAGGGAAGAAAGGCCCACACGUCGGGUUUACAUAGAGAUAUUAAUGUGCCGCGCAAUUUUCUAUCAUCUAGAAGACUCCAGAAGCGACGGGAACGAACGCGAAGCCGAGAGGGCUCAGGGACAGGGCGCCCGCCCUAGUCCUUAGGGCGCCCGCCCACCUUCAGUGUCCAAUUCGGACCCGUUUCGCGGACCACGCUCCACCGACCUAAAGGAUCAAGGAAAACCAUGCGAUUAAUGUCGGUUGAUCCGACGGCCCAGAUUCAUCUGAAAAGACUAUAUAAGCAAGGCCCCCUGGCCCCUGGAGAUCAUACCUCUUCUACAGAAUCAAAGCUAGGGUUUCAAUUCUUCAUCCAAGUAGAGAGGAUCCCUCUAGUUCAUCUAGUUCUAGUUCUAGUUCUUCUAGUUCUAGUUCUAGUUAGUUCUAGUUGUAAUCUAGAAAAUAGGGAGAGAGAAGAGGAGAGCGGAGGAGGAGCCGGAUCUGUCGGAUCUUCCUCAACAUUAUACUUUUGCUGCAACUGGUUCGUUCUUCAUCGUUCUCCAAGUUUUUCAAUUCAUAAUUCCUGAGUUCUUUAAUUAAUUUUAUUUACAUUCAAGUUAUUUAUUGGAUUCCCGCUUGCAUCAAGUGCUCUAGUCAUUAUAACGCUAGAGUAGUAAUCAAUAGAUUAGACGUGGUGUUUAGCCUUGCAAUUACUUGGAAUUGUACCCAAUCCUGUGGAUUGUUGUGGUAGCCCUAGGGUAGUGACAGCCCUAAUGGUCGUCGUAUUCCACCUUGUUCGGAUCGGUGUUUGUAGGACCGUAGUCAGAGCUUCCUAGCCCCCUUCUCAACUCUUUCUGUGGUUACUGUUCUGAUGUCCCGAAAUAAAUAAUCUUUGAAGUAAUGCUUGAUUCUUAGAUCAACUAGAGAACUCUCAGGAAACUUCCUCUCUUCUCAUCAAAAAUAAUUAUAUAGUUAUCCUAGGGCGAUCUUGAAUCUUAAUUAGUACACUCACGUUCCCUGUGGAAAAUUUAUACUCUGGAAUACUCCCGGGUGAAAGCUACAUCGGUAUCCGUGCACUUGUGGAUUUUUUCUGUUUGCAUUUAAAAUACCCAACAACCAGACAAGCUAAUCAACCUUAGCUACUCCUACUUAGUCACUGGUUUCAUGGGCAGAAUAACUAGUCUCAAGAUUCAGUUAUAACUUCAGCAUCAUGUGGCCAAACUAAGCAAGUAGAUACUUUCUGGAAAGCUUAGCAAAUUGUCUAAAAUUCACUUUUAGACAUCGCAGAAUGAUUCCCAACCGAAAUAUGCUAAAACAUACAAAGUUGGCUGGCUGUCCUGGAAAAUCCAGAGAUCAAGCAUUUCGCAGCAGCUACUUGUAACAUUCAUAACUUUUAAACUACUCAACUAAAUGUCAUGAAAUUUGGACACGAAGUAGAUAAGUAAUUUAUCUACAUGUUUGUCAUAGACAAGUUUUCCAGAAAACUUUAUCUUCAAGCUGAUCCUGAACAAUUGCUAUCAGCUACACAGAAAUGCUCUAGGAAAGACAUAAAUAGCAAAAAUAAUAUUUUCCACAUAGUAACAAUGUAACAUAGGCUCAAACCAAAUGCACCAGUAGAUAGAACAUGUCUAAGAAACACCAUAAAACAUCAUGGCAAGGUUUAAACUCAUUUCUAUCAUCACCUUUUCUAUUUAUUUAAUUAUUAAGAUGAUUUAAUAAACAUUUACCAUAAGUUCUCCAAAAAUUCCAAUAACAUUACAGCAUGCUAUCUAUACUAUCAUAAGGUUACUGUAAAAUUUUCAGGGCACUUGCACAUGCAGAUUGUGAGAUACAAAAAUAACAAGCUAGCAAAGGCAUUCAAGGCAUAAAUGUGAAACCCUAUCAAAAAGUGUCAAACAACAGAUUUCAGAUUUUUCUUAGCUUUGUCUACACAUGAUUACAUCACUCAGCAAGUUUCACCAUAAAAGAAGUUAUAAUCUAUUUACUAAAAAUACUACAAGAAUCUCCUAUUUAAACAAGAAAUAUUUAUAACUUCACUAACAGACAUCCAAAAAUCAUGACAAAUUUAGCCGAGCUUAUUCAUGUCAUAAGUAACAACACCCUAAAUUUGCAUGGCCAUCAGAUUCACAGAUAUCAAGAUAUAAUUACCUCCUAUUUAAUCAAGAUUAAAUCAUAUCUAUUUAUUUCAGCAAAAACAUGGCAUGUUUCAUAUUUUUAAUAAAAACUAGAGUAACACAGGAACCUAGCAAAAUUGGAAUCACAUCAUUUGGAUCUGUAUAACUUGAGUUAUGAAUUUUACAAAAUCAACAUAGGAUCUGCAAAAUAGAAAACCAGGGUGUGUGGGAGAGAGGCUGACAGGGGGACCCACGGUUCAGCGGGACCCGCUUGACAGCAACACAGAGACAGGGGAGAAGCUCGUCGCCGGCAAAACUCGACGACGGCGAGGUCUCCGGGGAAACCAAGGGCAUCUACGUGUUCCUCUCCUCAAGGCGAACUCGUUGACCUACUUUACACGUGCUCUACUGGACCCUAGGGUGCUCGCCGUCGCGAAUGGCGGAGCGGCGGUGCGGCGCGGCGUUACGCCGGCGAACCUAGGCAACGACGACGCGGUAGAGGUUGCGGACGAGCAAGAGUGAAGGAAGGCGAAGCUAUAGGAAGAAGAAUCAUGGCCAGAGGUGAACCAGAGAGGUCUGGCCACGUUGCCGGUGAUCUCUACGAACUCCGGCGAGGUGGAGCUCGCGACGGAGUUGGCAAUGUGGCCUCACUAGUGCUCGGCUAAGGGAAAGAAGUGGACGUCGAGGUAGAGGACGUCGAGGCGGAGCUCUGGGCGGGCUGGCUUGGCCGGAGACGUGGUGGAGCGGCGGGGAGAGCUCGUCGAAGCGCGGCGGAGCUCGCCGAGGCAAUGGCAGAGCAAAAUGGAGCGCUCUGAGCGAGUGGAGGUCGCGUCUGAGGCGUCCACUCGGUGCGUGGCGACUUGUGGAUGUCGUGGGAGCUGACCGGAGGGGCCGUCGACGGCGUACGUCCGACAGGUGGCUGGACACGCGGCGGCGGGUGAGCUCUGUCCAAACUGAAACGGUUUCUGAAUCGCCCGAUUUCAGUGUGUGAAACUUGAUUUUCAUCAACGUUUUACUCUCAGCUCACUCGAUGGUUUUGGCUCAAAUUUGAUCCUUUGGAUAGAACUACAUGAGAUCUAUAGAUUUGCUUAAAAGAUCAAAGUCUAAUUCAGCCUGGAUUUCAAACCACAAGGCUCCCAAGAACCCUAUGUCGAAACUACCGAAUCCGAGACUUAGCCAAAUUCGGCUAAGUGUGGAAACAGCACUGAUUUCUGUCUUGUGAGCUAAAUUUGGUUGUGUUCCAAGCUUUUUCAUAAAAUGUCAUCAACAUAACUUUUGUAGCUUAUGAAAUUUACUACAACUUUGUUUUAGGUGUCAUUUACAUGCAAGGUUUCUAACACCAGUUUCAUAAAAAAUCUUUGAAAAGAGGUCUAGGGUGUCAAUUAGGUCAACCUAGGGCUAACCAUGACAUAGGGGUAUUUUUGGACAAAACCUCCAACAUAAACUUUGUUCACAAUGUUAUUCUAAACAUGAUUAAAGUAUUUUGGAAGGCAAUGUGCACUUAUAUGCAUUGGUCCCACAUUAUUAUCCCUCAUAACAAGCCAUACAAGCAAUUCAAUCAUACAUGGUAUACAUAAGAUGACAUGUGAUCAUGAUGGAUGCUUAUGAAUGAGCAUGAUGAUGCUUAUGUUGAUGCAAUGUUCAUGGUUAACAUGCAAGCUAACACUAGGAGUGUUACAGUCCUCCCCCCUUACAAAAAUCCCGUCCCGAGAUUUGAAAGACGUACCAUUUUUCAUAGAAUGCGGGAUAAGUUACUUGUAAAUAGUCUUCCCUUUCCCAAGUGGCAUCUCUUUCACUUUGGCACAAAACUCUGAAAAGUUUAAUCACUCUCCCCAGAGUAACUCUUUCCUUGACAUCAAGAACUUGUGCUGGCUUCUCUUCAUAGGAUAGAUCGGACUGCAACUUAAGAUCUCUUGUUUCAACUCUCUCUUCGGGCACACGAAGGCACUUCUUGAGUUGAGACACGUGGAAUACAGGGAAAAUAGCUCUCAUUUCUGGAGGUAGUUGUACCUUGUAAGCUACCUUGCCGCUCUUCUCAAUGAUUUGGUAGGGACCCACAUACCUAGGGGCGAGCUUCCUCUUUACACCGAAGCGAUUCACACCCUUCGUGGGCGAUACCUUCAGGUACACAAAGUCACCUACUUCGAACUCGAGUGGCCUUCUUCUUUGAUCGGCAUAGCUUUUCUGUCUAGCUUGGGCAGCUUCCAUGUGUUUCUGGAUAACGAGAACUUGCUUUUCAGCUUCUUUGACAAAGUCAAUUCCGUAGUACCUCCUUUCACCAGGUUCGACCCAGUUUGGAGGAGUUCUACAAUUGCGGCCAUACAAAGCUUCGAAAGGAGCCAUUCGAAUGCUUUCUUGAUAGCUAUUAUUGUAUGAGAAUUCAGCUAAGGGUAGCCAUUUUUCCCAUGCACCCUUGGAAGAGAUAACGCAUGCCAUCAACAUGUCUUCCAAGAUUUGAUUCACACGCUCACUCUGACCUGAGGUUUGGGGAUGGUAGGCUGAACUGUGAACCAAGUUUGUACCAAUGAGUGAAUGCAAAUGCUCCCAAAAGCGGGCAGUGAACUGAGGACCUCUAUCAGAAAUAAUAGUGCGGGGCACUCCAUGUAAUUUAACAAUCUGAGAGAAGUAUAACUCAGCAUAGUCAGAUGGUCGGUAUGUAGAAUGUACGGGAAUAAAAUGAGCUGACUUGGUCAAAUGGUCAACAAUCACCCAUAUGGAAUUGUGUCACCGGAGCCUUGGACUACAAAGCACCUACCUCAUAAGCCCUCUUGCCGUUCUUGGACGCGGCAUAAACAGCAUUGGUGUUCUCCUGGGUCAACGCAUCACUCACAAACUCGUUGAAGGUGGUACUCUUGUUACUAGCCAUGUUCUUGGACAGUUUGGGCCCAAGACCUCUCUUGAAACUAGCAAGUUUCGUGGCCUCAGUUUCAACAAAUUCAGGAGCAUAGCAAGACAAGUUAUUGAAAGCAUGAAGAUACUCAGUCAAACUUUGGUUCCCUGAGUCAAAUUCAUGAACUCGGUAUGUGUUGAUAUUUGGUAACGCAAUAAGGAAAUGAUCCGCAAGCGCACGGAUAUCGGUGAGCAUUUCACCCGGGAGGUUAUCCAGAGUAUCGUAUUUAUAUUUUUACCACUGGGAGAAACGGUGCAUCUGACUAACCAAAUCUAUUGCUACUACCAUUUAGGCUACAAAGAAUGUUUCUCGAUGUGAGUGAUGUAUAGAGAAGACUGCAACCGCAGUCUCGUUCUAACCUUGGUAAGGAUGAUCUACUGUUCUAUAGGGGGAAGCUUACGGAAUCUAGACACCAUAAAGGAUGUUCGACCCGCACCUAUAAACCUACCCGUCCUGCUAACGAGAUGUGGUCUGCAAAGGUAACUCGGAAAUGUCACGUAGUCAGGGGAUAUCUAUGAGUACCCUAGCCCAAACACCACGUUUACGCUAGCAAUGAUUACUCUAAACUCAACCGGAAGAGAUUAAAGUAAACUCAUAAACCAAAGAACAAUAAGAACAAGAACUUACUAGAAUUAGAAGUCGAAUUACUGAAGAAUCCUAGGAGCAAGCCUCGGGUUAGGAGAACUUGAUCCCGCAGGUACAACCUCGGAGUAGACACUGACAGGCCGGGCUUCCUCCGAUCUACACCUCCACUCUAUAUCUCUCAAUCUAGUAGAAACUAGAAGAUCUAAUUCUACUCACAUUGGAUGCUAUGCCUAAAAGAAAUUUUAUUUAGAGGAGAGGUAUUCCUUCGAGGACUCCUCUCAACUCUAUGAUGAACUUGUCUCCUCCAGGGGCCAGGGGGUCUGCUUAUAUAGUCUCCUCCUUUUGUGCCUUUUUGGUUCAGCAGGCGAUGUGGUACUAAACUUUCCACCAUAUCUCAUUAAAAUGCACAUAGGCCAUAAUGGACCAAAAUGUGAUUUGGCCCAAUUAAUCCCGUAGCUCUUUUAUGUGGAGUCCUUUUAUUAAUAUCUCUUGAUUCCGAACUCCAAAUAUAGCAAAUAAUAUAUGCAUUUCGAUCAGCUCGAUGAGAUCUUUGUAAUGGUGUACUCCAUUCUGUGAUUGGUGCUUGUACUAGGGUGGGCGCCCUGCCCUCGGGCCCGUUCGGCCUCCCGUUCGUUCCCGUGGCUUCUAGAGUCUUCUAGAUGAUAGAAAAUUGCGCGGCACAUUAAUAUCUCUAUGUAAACCCGACGUGUGGGCCUUUCCUCCAUAUUUCUUGAUAACCCCCUGCAGAAAUAGACAAACACCAAAACUCGUGGAAUUCUGUCAGAUAAAACCCUAAGUCUGGGUGUUGGUUGCAUUUGGAUCCUUUUCUUUAUUUAUUUGAUGAUUAUAUUUGGUACUUAAGAACUGUCAACAAAGUCCCCCAAGCUUACCUCUUGCUCGUCCCUGAGCAAGGAUGGACUCAAGAGUUUCUACAAUGGUUUCAUGCCUUAAAAGUACACAUGCGUUCAAGCAAGAUCUCAUCUCUGAGUUAGUAAACUGUUAAGACUUAAAACUUACUCAUUUUACCUUUCACCAGGGGGCUUGCAACCGUCACUUGUGUCUUGAGCAGUUAAAAGAUAGAACGGUCAAGUCAAGCGCCAUGUCUCUUAUUCUUGAUCAGCUAUAGCUCUAGAGUUUUUGCAGAUUUUCAAAUAAAACUUAGAGAUUCCUUGUAUGACUCUCUCAAAUCUCUCUUUUGUGGUAUUUCUGGAUCCUUACCAAGGCAAUGAUGGUAUAUGCCUUCUCUCAAAGUAUGUGGUAUUUGUGAUACGAGGAAUAGUGACAUUGCCUUCUCUCUCAUCCUACUCUAAUAAGGUUUUUGUAUCUGGAGCUCAUAGGUGGGAGACAGAUAAUACAUACUUACAAGACGUUUAUUGCAUAGUCAAACCAUGGAUCCAGAAGAACAAGUCAAUAAGUCAAAUCAAGAUGUGCAUAUGUGGCGAGUGAAUGGCGUAUGGUGAUAAUGAUGAUAACAAUGGUGAAGGUCUAAUUCUACCUUUGCUCUUUUUAGGGGAUACAUACCUUUCUUCCACUUUGAAGCUUUUUUGAGGAGAUUGAGAUGCUCUAUAUUUUCUUUUUCUUUUCUCUCAGGCGGGUAUCUUGUACCCCUAAUUCUACUUAAUUCUACUGUCGGACACUUGUCCAUUUUUACCUCUCGUCUCACUUUUUUUUUCUUUGAGGUUCCGGGCACUUGCCCCUUUUUAUUUCCUCGUAUUUUUCCUCUUCUUCUUUUUUAGAGCACCCAUCUCCUGAAAUAAUAUAGCAAGUGGUAGUAACCAAGAUAACUCGAGCAUUUAUUUCAAAGGAAAAAUAACAGAAAUAGGAGAAUGUUUUUGGCUAUUCUCUUCUGGAUAGGAGUAGAAUAAUUUUGGGUGAAUCUGGAGAAGGAAAUGAGUGGAUGUAUGUGGAUGCGUACUUCCGGAGUAGAAGUAGCAUGUAUGAGUGAACGUGCAAGUGAAUCUUGAUUUUUAACCGCAUGACAAGCUCCUAAGGGUCUACACAGCUUGACCACACUCAAUGCUCAUAAACAGUAAAAAGUAAAUAUAUGGUUCAUAGUCUAAGAAACAUGUAUAUGUGGCUGUGGUAGGAUUUUAAACUCUCAUCAUACAGGAACACAUCAUGUGUUAUUUUAAAGAUUUUCAAAGAUAAAAUUCUCUAGAAUUCCAGCAUUUCUAGGAAUAGAUAAACAACAGCUCAACCUUCCCAUAUCAUAUCCGUUAACGACUUAGACUUUAGAUCAAGUACUCUUCCCACAAGUUCAGGUUUAGAGUAGGUUUAAAUUAUAAUAGUUAUGCCUAAACUUGAGAGAGAGCUCAAACUUGAAAACUAGGUAUAUGGCAGAGCAACUAUUUAUCAUAUCCACGUAAGAGUUCAUCAUAAGGGUUCAGUUUGGCCUAGACUCUUUAUUUAUUUAUUUAGCAAACUAAGCAAAGAUAUAUAUAAACACAAAAUUUCUAUUUGGGUUUUCAUGAUUAUGCAUUUUUUAUCAUUUAAGUAAAGUAUAAACGUGAGUAGAAACACUUAGCUAUAAACGCGAGUAGAAACACUUAGCUGGAUAAAUGGGGGUGCUCACCCCCAAGCUGGAUUUUGACGUAAUUUCUUCUGAUGUAGCUAGCAAGUGACGGAGGUGUAUUUGAAUGUUGGUAGCACCCUAACAGCAAUUAGAAUGCCCUCCGUCUGCUAGUCUUCUUUGAUCUUUGAAUUCUGUGGAGCUCAAAUAGACAACAAAGCUUUGUGGAACUAGUUAAGUGUUAGCAUAAAAUCUCUUAGCCUUUAUCAUAUUGAGAUUCCUCCUAAUAAAUUUUAUUUAUCAGGAUCAUGCAACUAUUAUUUAUAUUUUUAUUGUAAGAUGAAAACAUAUUUAUUUUAUCCCACCACAGUGAACGUACCUAUGGGUUUUAUGCCAUGAGCAUACUCACAUGGGCUUACUAUUUUUAACAUUUUUAUUUUCUCGAGAUGAUAUGGACCUGAUUAACUAAGCAAACUAUUUUAAAUAAUUGAAGGGAAAAGGAUAACUACCAAGUUUACCUCUUGGCACGGCGUUCGGUGUUUUUAAGUCCUCCGAACGGGACUCCUUGUGUUUUCAGUCGUCCUAGGAUUCGCUGGGUGGCGUAGUCGGUGGUUCCGGUGGCACCUCCUCUUCUUGUAUAACUAUCUUCUCUCUCUGACUCGGUGCUACGGUCUCUUCAGGACAGUUCUGUUCAAGCUGUAUGUCUUCAGACCUUAUCACUUCUCCUUCGUAGUCUACCCAUCCAUCCUUGAUGAUUUGCCUCCUCUGGUUGCGGUUGCGUCGUCUUCUUCUUGUCCUGACCUGCUUAGAGUCUUCAACUAUAUAGUUAGAAUCAUUAAAGUAGUGGCGUACCUUCUCAGAGAGGAAGUGCAUGUGGACUUCUCUGGUUCCAAUAUAGAUGAUAACUUUGAUACUGUUGAGGAACAGUCUUCCAAGGAUGGUGGGUGGAUCAUACUCGUCUUCUCCCAUGUCAAUGACCUGAAAAUCAUCUGGAGUUGAAUAUAUAUUGGUUGUAGGGGCAUGGUUCCAUGCAGGAGCUGAUGAGUGACUGCGGCCAUUAUGUUGUCGUCAGAUCCGGUGUCGUAGAGUGUCUUCUGAAAAGAGUAUCUAUUGAUUUUGCACUCGAUGCUUGGAACACCAGGGUCAUCUUUCUUCAUCCUUUAGGUGCAUCAUUUGAUUAGGUGUGGACCUUGACGUUUGCACCUCUUGAUACGGAGUCACCCAUGUUCGUUGUUUGCCCAGCAGUUCGAAGUGCGGUGUUGGCAAUAUCCUGCUUAGUGUGUUUGUGCUCGUAGAUCUAGGUCCUUCACUUGGUGGAGUCUUGGAGUUGUAAAACUCCUCCAUGUUUUGCUUGAAGUGUACCUACUCAUAAAGACAAGGCAGAGAUCAAGUGCAUGGGCCCUGUUGGUGAAAAACACCAACAGAACCAAAAGUGUAUUUGUUCUUCUCUAACCUUAAGCAUAGUGAGCAAGACAAAGUUGAUGGAUCAUGAGUGUAGCAUUUGUCAGAUCAGAUGGCUCAACCUAAUGGAAAGAUGAUCUAUCUAUAUUUAUGUUUUGUUUAUAUCUUCCAAAGAUUGAAUGUGCAACAUUUUAGCUUAUAUGAUUAGGAGUGUGGGAUCACGAAGGUAGUACUAAGAACAAAGAUUACAGGACUAAACAUGUUGAAUUAAUCGGUUAAUUUGGAGCUACAAAUCAUGUUUGUCUCUUUAUUUUAUGUGAACGCUAAAACCAAGGAGAAACUUAUAAAAGCGAUAGUCAAGUACCUUAAGAUGUUACCUUACUUGAAGAGUGAUGGUAUAGUAUCACCUUGUGGAAGCUUUCCUUUCUUAGCGGUUGUGCAACGUGUUUGUGGCACCCUCCAUGGAUCAUCUCUUUAUGAUGAAUGAGCUAUGUCCUUCUUGUGCAAAUUGUUAAACUUCAUGUGUCUCCUUUAUCUCCAAUGAGUUUGUAUCUCAUGACUUCCCAGGUUGAUAUUGAAAGUUUUUCUGCAGGGGUUAGUCCGAAAAAAUAUACCAAUGUCUACUUAAGUAGUUUUUUAGUUCAGUAACCAAACUAGACUCCAUGUCUAAUCGGAUUAAGGAAGGCUGUUUAACCUAAGCACCACGCUUAAUUUAAAAGCCAAUGGAAGUAUGUACAGUACUUCCAAACUAACACUUACUAGGAUAACCAUAGGUAGCAUGAUGGCUUUUAUAGAGAUCUACUUAAGUGGAGAAGUAGUGUGACUAGUAUUUAACAAAUCAAGCAUGUCUCAAAGGUAAGGACAACCAACAUAGCAAGUUGGCAAAUGAUGUUUUUAUGUAAAGUACUCCCCCAAGCUUGAAUUUUGCAAAAUUCAAGAUUGGAUGAAUUUAAUUCAAUGUUGCAUGAUGAUUGGUUGGACAUACCUUGCGCUUGUCAUUCCUUGGAUCUUCUUGCUCCAAUCCUAAAAGGUUAGUGACAAGAAUACCCAAAGGAAUAUUUAUACAAUUAUCUUUAUAUGUUCCAUACACAAGGCAAUGUUGCAAAUAAUUAGAAGUUCAUGUUACGAUCUUAUCAGUGCUUGUUUUAGGACACUAAGCUUGUCCUUGGGAAACCAUCAAUUUAUGUCGGCAAAGUAGUUUCCCCUCCGACGCUGACCUAUAUCAAGAUCAACUCAACGAGAUCUGCAAUAUUUAUUAUAGACAUAUGCAUCGACAACCGCCCUUUUAAAGUUUUUAUAAAUAGAAAAGAUGAGGGGGUUGGAGAUCUCAAAUGCGGUGAUGUUGGAGAGACCAAUUGAUUGGGGAGAUGUUUUAUAUGAGCAAGGACUUGGUGAGGUAUUUAUGAAAUAACUUCUAUGCUCACUAUUGUUUCUCUCAUUCUCAAACUCCAAGGAUGAUUCUUCAUGAAUGCUUAAAAAUCCUCUAGGAUUGUCUCUCAAGUUUGUUUUAUCCAUCCAUUUAAUGGUGAUAGCAUAUGGAUUUUUAAUGCCCUCUAGCCAUUGAUGUUGCUCUUCUUGAUCCUCCUUGUGGUCUUGGUGACUCUUAUGAAUGGGAUGUCUAGAGAGAUUCAUAGGAUCAUCGGGAGGUUCAAGAGAAAGAGCAUAGGAGAAAUUAUUAGGCUCAAGGAUGGGUUGGAUAGCCGAAUCAUGGGAUUAGAAUGUUUGGAAAUCGGCUAUUGAAACUUCCUUUCCUCGUCUGGGAGAUGAUUCCUUCUCUAUCUCUAGGAUAUUUUUAUGAAGACUAGUGCAAGAAGAAUGUCCACAAAUGAAGACAUACUUUCCUUUACUAAUAGAUAAAGAAAGAAAGACUCUACCAAAGGUUAUAUGAUUAAGACCAAUGUGAAAAUAUCGAGAAAAAACAUGGUCUUGUAGGGCUAGGUUUAAACCAGAAUUUAUAGCAAGAUUAACAGAUUCCCUUGGUGUAGCUAAAAGUGCAUUAUCUUCUUGAUUAAAAGAUAGGACUUUGGCUAUAGAAAAGGGUUGGUUUUGACCUAUUGCAAUCAACUCCAGACACAAAUCAUAAUUAGGGGCAGGACUUGUUGACUCCCAUGGUCCAUGGCUGGUCUCCGAAGGUGCAAAGAAUUCAAUAAUAGGUAUGGAAUUUAAGUUAUCCAUAGAGAUAAAAAUAAAAAGAUAAAAGAAUAAAAGUAUAAAAGUAUAAUACAAGAUAUAGCAAGACUUAAAGUUAUCUCAGCAAACCGUCUUUGUCCUCGGCAACGGCGCCAGAAAUGCUUGUUGAUAUUUGGUAACGCAAUAAGGAAAUGAUCCGCAAGCGCACAGAUAUCGGUGAGCAUUUCACCCGGGAGGUUAUCCAGAGUAUCGUAUUUAUAUUUUUACCACUGGGAGAAAGGGUGCAUCUGACUAACCAAAUCUAUUGCUACUACCCUUUAGACUACAAAGAAUGUUUCUCGAUGUGAGUGAUGUAUAGAGAAGACUGCAAUCGUAGUCUCGUUCUAACCUUGGUAAGGAUGAUCUACUGUUCUAUUGGGGGAAGCUUGAGGAAUCUAGACACCACAAAGGAUGUUCGACCCGCACCUAUAAACCUACCCGUCCUGCUAAUGAGAUAUGGUCUGCAAAGGUAACUCGAAAAUGUCACGUUCCUCGCUACUACCACGGUCCAGCUAGUUAGGGGAUAUCUAUGAGUACCCUAGCCCAAACACCACGUUUACGCUAGCAAUGAUUACUCUAAACUCAAACGGAAGAGAUUAAAGUAAACUCAUAAACCAAAGAACAAUAAGAACAAGAACUUACUAGAAUUAGAAGUCGAAUUACUGAAGAAUCCUAGGAGCAAGCCUCGGGUUAGGAGAACUUGAUCCCGCAGGUAUAACCUCGGAGUAGACACCGACAGGCCGGGCUUCCUCCAAUCUACACCUCCACUCUAUAUAUCUCAAUCUAUUAGAAACUAGAAGAUCUAAUUCUACUCACAUUGGAUGCUAAGCCUAAAAGAAAUUUUAUUUAGAGGAGAGGUAUUCCUUCGAUGGCUCCUCUCAACUCUAUGAUGAACUUGUCUCCUCCAGGUGCCAAGAGGUCUGCUUAUAUAGUCCUCUCGUUUUGUGCCUUUUUGGUUCAGCAGGCGAUGUGGUACUAAACUUUCCACUAUAUCUCAUUAAAAUGCACAUAGGCCAUAAUGGACCAAAAUCUGAUUUGGGCCCAAUUAAUCCCGCAGCUCUUUUAUAUGGAGUCCUUCUUUUAUUAAUAUCUCUUGAUUCCGAACUCCAAAUAUAGCAAAUAAUAUAUGCAUUUCGAUCAGCUCGACGAGAUCUUUGUAAUGGUGUACUCCAUUCUGUGAUUGGUGCUUGUACCAGGGUGGUCGCCCAAGGGGGGAGGGCGGGCGCCCUGCCCCCGGGCCCGUUCGGCCUCCCGUUCGUGAUAAGUGGUCCGGGAGGGCGGGUGUUUGCCACGAGUGAGACUUUAGGUUUUGAGCUCAAACAUGUCAUGAUAAGUGGUGAUGGUCAUGUUGAGGUCAAUCCAAGAAAGCGAGCCUCAAGUUAAACUUCGAAUAACCUCAUUAAGUGAAUAGAACCAUGGGUCACCAACCAAUCCUUGCAACCUUACCCAGAUGACUCUAGAUGAACUCUACAACAAAAGUCAUGAAUGGUUCAUGUUGAGAUUUAGCCUAGAAAAUGCUCCAAUUAGCCUAAAACCUUAGUUUGAGCUUUAUCAAGUUGCUGCUUCGACCAAGUCUGGAAUUGCAGUUCAUCACGUUGGCAUUCCGUGUUCUCCAAAUUUUACUAAAUAACUUGUUUGGGUCCCAAAAUAGAAGUUCGAGUACAUGUUGUGGACAAGAGCAUACCAAAAGAUGACACCAGUUUGACUUGGUUUUGGUCAUUAAUUUUGAGUUUUGCUAAUCACUAUCAAUUCAUUGACACUCAAAGGUUGGCAUCAAAUUAUCUACUAAUCUGCAACUCUAAUGACCAUGGCACCUUAAUCAAAGUUGGAGAGUGUCAGGAGUAGAGCAAACUUUGUUUUUGGCUCAUAUCCAAAUUCGGUCCAAAUCCGGCUCAAAUCGGCUUCCCACACUGACCACAUCGUUGCCCGACACGUGCUUAGUGGAAUGCCUCAAUGGCAGGACGCGUGGAGAGCGCGUGGCGACCAUGCAUGAGUUCAAGCUCUCCAUUGCUGUCACCUCUGCCUUGCUCUCUGCCUCUCUGAUGCCAGGAGCAGAUGGGCGACCUUCCUUGCCAUCUCGAAUGCCCCCUUCCCCUCUCCAAACUCUCCUACUUCCGCUCUCUCCCUCUGUCCACCAUGGAUAGGAAGCUGAGCUCCAUGGCCGACCUCCACCGACCACUCCCUGCUCUACCUCGAGUCCAACCAUGGCCGAAUAGCUCUAGAGCUACGCGGCCUUCCCUAGCCCUCCUCCACCCAUUCACUGCUGGUGCCACCUCCGGACUCCGGUGGAAAUCGAAACAGGUUUCCUCUGUCUCUGUACGAAAGUAGAGAAGAGGAAGGACCUCGGGUUAGAAUAUAAAACAACUCAGGGUUCAGUUGUGAAACCCAGACUCAUAUGAAUAGUAUUACUGGGUUGUGGCGUGAUUCAUGGAAAAUCUAGGGUCGCCGGUGCAAGAUCUGUUUUCCUUUUCUUUAGUUUUUGCAGAUUUUAUGGAUGAAAUUUGGAAAUGCAUAGAAAUUCAUAGAAAUGUCGUAAAAUAGCAAAUGAGGACUUUUUGGAAUCCUUAUGAAAUUCUCUAUGCAGUAGAUCUAUAUUAUUACAUGUUUUAUUUUGAAGUUUUAACGGUAAAAAUAGAUUUGUGCAGUUCGGUUUUAAUUGCUUGUUAAAUUUGUCUUUUUCAUAACCACUGUAUUAUUGCUCCAAUAAAUGUGAAAAUAUUAUGACAUUCUUUUCAUAUGAUAUUGGAUGUCUGGUAAAAGUUUAAUGAAUUUAGGAUUGAUAGAAUAAGAGUUAUAAAAAUAACAAAUGCCCUUUGUUGCUUUGCUCCUAUUCUGAGUGGAUCUGACUAUUUGUAUUAUUUGGCUCAAUUAAGUCGUGAAUCUUGCCUGGAUGAAAAUAUAUAAGUUUUAGUACUUUUCAUAAGCUUUUAAAAAAGAAAAAUAGCACAAUUUUUGGUUAAGCACAUGUUUAGUUAUAGUAGUUUAAUGUACUAUUCUAGUUUCUGUCUAAACCCAGACUGGAUUGCAUUGUUUGUAAUGUAAGACUUUGUUAGUUGUAGAUUUAGCUCUAGAUGUUUAUAAUAAAAUUGUUCACAAUUUAGUAAGCUUCCUAGAAAGUACAUAACCAUAAUUUAUGGGCAUAUGAAACUCAACUUAUGGCUGUUUAAUGUGGCAUGAUAGAUUCUGUCCAUGUUUUGAACACAGAUGUCUUUAUGGAGCUUGAUAAAUGGUUUAUAAUUAUAAAUAAAAUCUAAAAAUGGAAAAUGUUGUUCCAGUAUAAUUCUAUGAUAUUUUUGUAUCAUGUUGACAUAUAAUAUGGUCAUGUGUUUGAAGAAAAUAUGAUUUGUACAUUUAUCUUGCUCUCACAUGGUUAAUUGCAAUAGCAAUUUAUCUUUUUCAUAGAUGUUGCUAAGCUUAUUCAAAUGCAAUGAAAUUGGUGCAGUAGACUAUGGAUAGUAUGUAGUAGCUACUGUAAUUUUUGUAGAAUUUACUGUACAUAUUUGGUAUAUGUUCUUUAAUUCACCUUAUUAUCCAAAUAAAUUAAGAAAGGAAUUAAAUAAAUUUAUUUGGUAAUGACCACUAUGUUUUCUGGUGUUCUUUACAUAUGUGGGACAUGUUAGUAAUAAUGGUUUAGCUCAAAUGCAUGUUUGAAACAUAAGUUAAUAAUUAAUUGUUUGCAAUUGUUGUUUCUGGACAGUUUCUGGAACUGUUUGGAUUAUAAUAUGUAAAUGAUAUUUUCUGGGAAUCUUGUCUAUAGCAAAGUUGUAGAUAAUUCAUUUAUCUAGCUGCUGUUAAAAUUUGGUAGUAUUUGGCCCUGUGGUUUGUGAGUUGUGUCUGUUCAAAGUUGGAUUCCAGAAAUGGCUGCUCUCUGUUUGUCAGGGACAGAUUCUGGAAAUUUAUAAUUUCGACCAGCUUAAGUUGAGAAUCAUGCUUUGAUGUCUAAAUAUCAAAUGUAGAUAAUUUCUUAAGCUUUCCAGAAUAUCUUCUUUCAUGUCUUUUGGAGUUACGUAACUCCAGUUAUGAUUUAUUUACUCAGGUGCCGUUAACAGUCCUAAAAAUGGCAGAUUUCUUGUAAUGCUGUUGCUUGGUAUAUUGCUAUGUAUGACUCAUGUCUUUGGUAAUGGCCAAGUUAAUAUAUGUGAGACCUUGUGAAACAUGUAUGCCCUGUCUAAUAUAUUUAGUGUUGCAUUCUUUGUUGACUUAGCAUGUUGGUUGUGUAAUCAUUAAGUUGAGCAGUGAGAUGUCCUUAAGUAUGUUUAGUGUAACCAUGCUCUUGCCAUGCUUCUUGUGUGUGUUGCUUUGUCUAUUGCACUUCUAUGUGUUCAUACACUUGCAUCUUGCAUCUCAUUUAGGUACGCUAGAUGAACUACGUGAAGGACUUUAUGGUGGACCUAUCAGGAUGAUGGAAGGACUACACAAGUGUUGUCAUCUUAGAUGUCGUCAAGAUGGCGAAAGCUAACUUAACUGACUUGUGUCGGAUUCCAGGUAAGCCCCGGAGCAUUCUAAUUCUCCUACCCUCUCAUUUUAUAAAAGCACUGUUGGGUAUUCUUAACAUCAUUACCAAAAGUAGACUUAGUUUUCUAAUUCUAGUAACGGUGCCAAAAAUGCCAAACCUAUCCCUCAUACCACUUAAGCCAAGUUGUCAUCCCCAGCAUGACAUGAGAGACGCGGUAUUGAAAUAUGCAAUUGCUCUUCUAAAUAAAUAAUGAAUGGGAUCUGCAAGCGCACAGAUUAAUACCGAUGUAGCAUUUUAACCGGAAAGUAUUUCAGGUAUCGUUAUUUAUAUUUUUACCACUAGGAAGGGAUUAACAAUCAUCAAUAUUGAUUACAGAAUAGAAUAUGAGAUUGCGUAUCUAUCAUUGCAUGUAUAAUUGAGAACAUUUAUCAAACUCCUUCAUACAAGGGUAAGUGUCACAUGAAGGAUAUAUGAAAUAAUGAAUAGUAACAAAGAUAAUUAAUCUGAUCAUAACUUAGCCACAUAAUAAAUAUGAUAAGCACCUCAAUUAGAUACUCUAGAAAGUCAUUAGCAUUGUAUUAGAACGAACUACAAGAAUAUUUCCUAAGUUAUUCUCAACUAUAUAGUCUAGCAUUAUCAUAGUUAGUGCAAGCAUACUUAGCAAUCAUUGUGAGACAAGACUAUGCCCAUGCAUAGUGAUAUUAGCAAGGUAAAUGAGAAACAUAGCAAUCACUCCCCUGUAAUAAUGUUGCUCUGCCAGCCCAAUACACGAGAGGGGGACUAUAUAAGAAUCAAUGAAGCUGUCACUAUCACGAACUACCCCACGAUCUGGCAUAUUGGUGGCAUAUUGGGUACAAUCGCAGAUAAAUACGGUAUAAGCACCACGCCUACACAAUAUCUAUCAUUUAACCAUGGAUCCGAUGGAUAAAUGCUAUACGAUCCUAAACAUGUAUAUAGAUCCAAUCUAACUAAGCCAAGUAUAUAACUAUGAUAAACUAAGAACAAUAUAAUUUUGAAUAUAAGCAAGUAGAGCAAAGUCAUAAGCAAUAUAUUGAAGUAGAACAAAGUCAUAUUCAUAAUAUUGAAGAACAAAGAUAAUUAGGAGAACAAUUAGAAGCACAAUUAGAGAAUUACCAAGAAUCCUCUUGACAGAUCCAGAAACCAAUCGAAGAUUGACUCCUUCUAGUUCUAAUCCUAUGUAGCUAUGCUAAUCUAGAUGUGUAAUUGAUGUGGUGGCUCUAAUCUUGAUCACGGGCUUCUUCUCCCUUGAGGAAUAAUGAAUUUGAGUUGAGAGGCUCUCUCCUCUAAGGCCAGGGGGUCUGGUUUUAUAGUCCCUUCAAGUGAAUAUGGGCAGUUGGAUCAAACCGACAUUGAUUGAACGGUUAUCCUUGAUCCUUUAGGUCGGUGGAGAUCUUCCCCGAAACAGAGUUCUCAUUGGACUCAGCAGGAGGGCGGGCGCCCAGGGCAACUAGGCGGGCGCCCAGUGCCUGGCCCCGUUCGGCCUCCGCUUCCUUCCCGUGGCUUCUGGAGUCUUCUAGAUGUAAGAUAAUUGCGCGGCACGUUAAUAUCUCUAUGUAAUCCCGACGUGUGGGCCUUUCUUCCGUAUUUCCUGAUAACCCCCUACAGGAAUAGACAAACACCAAAACUCAUGGAAUUCUGUCAGAUAAAACCCUAAGUCUAGAUGUUGAUUUCAUUUGGAUCCUUUUCUUUGUUUAUUUGAUAAUUAAAUUUGAUACUUAAGGACCGUCAACAAACUCCCCCAAGCUUACCUCUUGCUCGUCCCUGAGCAAGGAUAGACUAGAAGUUGCUGCAAUACUUUAAAAAUUUGACGGUACACAUGCUUUUAAAUGAGGUCUCAUCUCUGAGUUAGAGUAAACUGUCAAGACUUAAAACUUACUUACUUUACCUUUUACCAUGGGACUUGUAACCGUCACUUCUGUCUUGAGUGGUUAAAAGAUAGAAUAGUCUAGUCAAGUGCCAUGUCUCUUAUUCUUUAUCAGCUAUAGCUCUGGAGUUUUUGCAGAUUUCCAAAUAAAACUCAGAGAUUCCUUAUAUGACUCUCUCAAAUCUCUAUUUUGUGGUAUUUUUGGAUCCUUACCAAGGCAGUGAUGGUAUAUGCCUUCUCUCUCACCCUACUCUAAUAAGGCUUUAAUAUCUGGAACUCAUAGGUGGGAGAUAUACAUACUUACAAGACAUUGAUUGUAUAGUCAAACCAUGGAUCUAAAGAAACAAAUCAAUAAGCCAAAUCAAGAUGUGCAUGUGUGGCGAAUGAAUGGUGUAUGGUGAUGAUGGUGAUAACAAUGGUGAAAGUCUAAUUCUACUUUUGCUCUUUUGAGGGAAUACAUACCUUCCUUGCUUUUUGAAACUUUAUGAAGAGAAUGAGAUGAUCUUCUUUUUCUUUCCUCUCAGGUGGGUAUCUUGUACCCCUAAUUCUACUAUCGGACACUUGUCCAUUUUUACCUUUCGUCUCACUCUUUUUCUUUUCUUUUGAGGUUCCGGGCACUUGCCCCUUUUUAUUUCCUCGUAUUUUUCUCUUUUUUCUUAGAGCACUCAUCUCUUGAGAUAAUAUAGCAAGUGGUAGUAACAAGAUAACUUGAGCAUUUAUUUCACAAGGGAAAAAUAGAAAUGUUUUUGGCUAUUCUCUCCCGGAUUAGGAGUAGAAUAUUUUUAGGUGAUUCUGGAGAUGGAAAUGAGUGGAUAUAUGUGGAUGGUACUUCUGGAGUAGAAGUGGCAUAUAUGAGUGAACGUGCAAGUGAAUUCUUGAUUUAACCACAUGACAAGCUCCUAAGGGUCUACACAGCUUGACCACACUCAAUGCUCAUAAGCAGUAAAUAGUAAAUGUGUGGUGCAAAGUCUAGCAAGCAUCUAUAUAUGGCUGUGGUAGGAAUUUAAACUCUCAUCAUACAGGAACUCAUCAUGCAACAUUUUAAAGAUUUUCAAAGAUAAAAUUCUCCAGAAUUCUAGCAUCUCUAGGAACAGAUAAACAGCAGCUCAACCUUCCCAUAUCAUAUCCGUUAACAACUUAGACUUCAGAUCAAGUUUUCAUUCCACAAGUUUAGGUCUAGAGCAAGCUUGAAAUUAUAACAGUUAUAUCUAAACUUGAGAGAGAACUUAAAAUGUGCAAAUUAGGCUGAGCAACUAUUCAUCAUAUCCAUGCUAGAGUUUUAUUUAGAUACAGAUUAGCAUAGCCACUUUAUUUAUUUAUUAAACACACUAAGCAAAAGGCAAAUAUAUAAGCAAAAAAUCUUUAUUUGGUUUUUCAUAGUUAUAUUUUAUUAUAAUAUAAGUAUAAAGAUAGAUAGAUAGAAAUACUUAUCGGGAUAAAUGGGGGUGCUCUCCCCCAAGCUGAAUUUUGACGUAAUUUCCCUUGAUGUAGCUAGCAGGUGGAAGAGGUGUAUUUGAAAGUCAGCAGCAUUCUGACAGCGAUUAGAAUGUCCUCCGUCUGCUAGUCUUCUUGAUUCUUGAAUUCUGUGGAGCUCAAAUAGAUAACAAAGCUUUGUGGAACUGAUUAAGUGUUAGCAUAAAUAUCUAGCCUUUAUCAUGUUGAGACUCCUUAAUAAUUAUUGCUCCCAAUUUUUUUUAUAUUUUCAUUUUAUAAAGUAGAAAGGAAAUAUUUAUUUUAUUUUUAUGCCACCACAGUGAAUGUACUUAUGAGUUUUAUGCCACUCGUAUACUCACAUGGGCUUACUGUUUUUCAUUUUUAUUUUCUUUUUAGGAUAGUACGAACCUGAUUAACUAAGUAAACUAUUUUAAAUAAUUGAAAGGGGAAGGAUAACUACCAAGUUUACCUCUUGGCAAGGCGUUCGGUGUUUUUAAGUCCUCCGAACGGGACUCUUCUCUUCCUCAAUUGUCGUGGGAUUCGUUGGGUGGCGUAGUCGGUACUUCCGGCAGCGCCUUGUUGACGGUCCUUAAGUACCAAAUAUAAUCAUCAAAUAAAUAAAGAAAAAGAUCCAAAUGCAACCAACACCUAGACUUAGGGUUUUAUCUGACAGAAUUCCACGAGUUUUGGUGUUUGUCUAUUUCUGCAGGGGGUUAUCAGGAAAUACGAAAGAAAGGCCCACAUGUCGGGAUUACAUAGAGAUAUCAACGCACCGCGCAACUUUCUACCAUCUAGAAGACUACAGAAGCCACGGGAAGAAAGUAGAGGCCGAAAGGGGCCAGGCCCAGGGCGCCCGCCCUCUUUCCCUGGGCGCCCGCCUUGUCCUGGACUCCGUUCGGGACUCUCUUCGCACACGAUGUUCCACCGACCUAAAGGAUGAAGGAUAACGUAGUACCACAUCGCCUACCGACCCAAAAACAUAUACAGGAGGAGAACUAUAUAAGGAGACCCCCUGGCCCCUGGAGAAGACAAGAAGUUAUCAUAGAGUUGAGGGGUGCCCUCGAAGGAAAACCUCUUCUCUAAAUAAUAUUUCUUUUUAGGCUUAGCAUCCAAUGUAAAGUAGAAAUAGAUCUUCUAGUUUCUACUAGAUUGAGAGAGAGAGUGGAGGUGUAGAUCGGAGGAAGGCCGGCCUGUCGGUGUCUACUCCGAGUUGUACCUGCGGGAUCAAGUCUUCUAACCCGAGGCUUGCUCCUAAGAUUCUUCAGUAAUUCGACUUCUAAUUCUAUGUAAGUUCUUGUUUUAUUGUUCUUUGGUUUAUGAGUUUACUUUAAUCCUCUUCUGGUUGAGUAUUAGAGUAAUCAUUGCUAGCGUAAACGUGGUGUUUAGGCUAGGGUACUCAUAGAUAUCCCCUGACUAGAUGGACCGUGGUAGUAGCGAGGAACGUGACAUUUCCGAGUUACCUUUUCAUCCCAUAUCUUGUGAGAAGGAUGGGUAGGGUUUAUAGGUGCGGGUCGAACAUCCUUUGUGGUGUCUAGAUACCGUAAGCUUCCCAAUAGAAUAGUAGAUCAUCCUUACCAAGGUUAGAACGAGACUACGGUUGCAGUCUUCUCUAUACAUCACUCACUUCGAGAAACAUUCUUUGUAGCUUAAAGGGGUAGUAGCAAUAGAUUUUGUUAGUCGGAUGCACCCUUUCUCCCAGUGGUAAAAAUAUAAAUACGGUAACUCUGGAUAACCUCCCGGGUGAAAUGCUCACCGAUAUCCGUGCGCUUGCGGAUCAUUUCCUGAUUGCGUUACCAAAUAUCAACAAGCAUUUCUGGCACCGUUGCCGGGGAGAAAGACGGUUUGCUGAGAUAACUUUGAGUCUUGCUAUUAUCUUGUAUUAUACUUUUAUACUUUUAUUCUUUUAUCUGUUUAUUUUUAUCUUUAUGGAUAACUCAAAUUCCAUACCUAUUAUUAAAUUCUUUGCACCUUCGGAGACCAGCCAUAGACCAUGGGAGUCAACGCGUCCUGCCCCUAAUUAUGAUCUGUGUCCGGAGUUGAUUGCAAUAGGUCAAAACCAACCCUUUUCUAUAGCUGAGGUCCUAUCUUUUAAUCAACAAGAUAAUGAACUUUUAGCUACACCUAGGGAAUCUCUUAAUUUUUCUAUAAAUUCUGGUUUAAACCUAGCCCUACAAGACCAUGUUUUUUCUCGAUAUUUUCACAUUGGUCUUAAUCAUAUAACCUUUGGUAGAGUCUUUCUUUCUUUAUCUAUUAGUAAAGGAAGGUAUGUCUUCAAUGGUGGACAUCCUUCUUGCACUAGUCUUCAUAAAAAAUUCCUAGAGAUAGAGAAAGAAUCAUCUUCCAGACAAGGAAAGGAAGUUUCAAUAGCCGAUUUCUAAACAUUUCAAUCCCAUGAUUCGGCUAUCCAACCCAUCCUUGAGCCUAAUAAUUUCUCUUAUGCUCUUUCUCUUGAACCUCCCGAUGAUCCUAUGAAUCUCUCUAGACAUCCCAUUCAUAAGAGUCACCAAGACCACAAGGAGGAUCGAGAAGAGCAACAUCAAUGGCUAGAGGGCAUUAAAAAUCCAUGUGCCAUCACCACAUUUGAGAUCUCCAACCCUCUCUUCCUUUCUAUUUAUAAAAUCUUUAAAAGGGCGGUUGUCGAUGCAUAUGUCUAUAAUAAAUAUUGCAGAUCUCGUUGAGUUGAUUGAAGGUUUCCCAAGGACAAGCUUAGUGUCUUAAAAUAAGCACCGAUCAGAUCGUAACAUGAACUUUUAAUUAUUUGCAACAUUGCCUUGUGUAUUGAGCAUAUAAAGAUAAUUUUAAAAAUAUUCCUUCGGGUAUUCUUAUCACUAACCUUUCCAGGAUUGGAGCAAGAAGAUCGGAUGAAUGACAAGCACAAGGUAUGUCCAACCAACCAUCAUACAACAUGGAAUUAAAUUCAUCCAAACUUGAAUUUCACAAAAUUCAAGCUUGGGGGAGUACUUGACAUAAAAACAUCCUUUGCCAUGUUUCUAUGUUGGUUGUCCCUACCUUUGAGAGAUGCUCAAUUUGUUAAGUACUAAUCACACUACUUCAUCUCCACUUGAGUAGAUCUCUAUAAGUGUUGUCAUGCUACCUUUAUCUAUUUACUAGCAAGUGUUGGUUUAGAAGUACUCGACAUACUUCCAUUGGCAUUUACAUUAAGCAUGGUGCUUAGGUUCAAUAGCCUUCCUUAAUCUGAUUAGACAUGGAGUCUAGUUUGGUUACUGAACUAAAAACUGCUUGAGUAGAUAUUGGUAUAUUUUGUGGGACUAACCCCUGCAGAAAAACUUUCAAUAUCAACCUGGGAAGUCCUGAGAUAAACUCACAUUGGAGAUGAAGAAAGUGAAACAUGAAGUUUAACAAUUUGCACAAGAAAGACGUAGCUCAUAAGAGAUGAUCCAUGAAGAGUGCCACAAACACGAUGCACAACCGCUAAGAAAGAAAAGCUUCCACUCUUCAAGUAAGGUAACAUCUUAAGGUACUUGACUAUUGCUUUUAUAAGCUUCUCCUUGGUUCUGGCAUUCACAUAAAUAAAGAGACAAACAUGUAUGAUUUAUAACUCUAAAUUAACCAACCUAACGGAUUCAGCAUGUUUAGUCCUUUAAUCUUUGUUCUUAGUACUACCUUCGUGAUCCCACACUCCUAAUCAUAUAAGCUAAUAUGUUGCACAUUCAAUAUUUGGAAGAUAUAAACAAAACAUAAAUAUAGAUAGAUUAUCUUUCCAUUAGGUUGAGCCAUCUGAUCUGACAAAUGCUACACUCAUGAACUUAUCACCCAUCAACUUUGUCUUGCUCACUAUGCUUAAGGUUAGAGAAGAACAAAUACACUUUUGGUUCUGUUGGUGUUUUUCACCAACAGGGCCCAUGCACUUGAUCUCUGUCUUGUCUCUAUGAGCAGGUACACUUCAAGCAAAAUAUGAAGGAGUUUUACAACUCCCAGACUCCACCAAGUGAAGAACCAGGAUCUACGAGCACAAACACACUGGAGAUACUGGACGCUCAGGCAAUCACUGCCCUGAGAUGCUUGAGGACGUGAACUACAUCAACAACAAUAACAACUAUUACUACAACCGUCCUCAACAACAUCAAGGUUGGAAUCAACAGAGGCCUAAUUACUCAAAUAGGUGAUCCAGGACGCCCCGUCAUCCCGAUCUCCAUCGGCAUGGUGGACUUCCCAGAAGCACUCUGUGACUUUGGCUCCAGCGUCAACAUUAUGCCCAGGGUUGCAGAUCGGACACUCAGUUUCCCAAAGGAAAUAUUGAAGAACCUCUGCGUCCGAGUUGGUACCUUGUACACUCUAGCAGACUUCGUGGUGAUAGAGACUGGUACUGAGGAGAGGGCACCCAUCAUCUUAGGGAGGCCAUUCCUAAACACCAGAGCUGUCAUCUACGUUAAUGCUGCCAAGAUCAGUUUCUACAUCAAGGGGAAGAAGGAGACUUUCCUUCAAGAACAAGACUACACAAAUUUCAGAGCAAUCCCGACACGAACCAAGGAAGAGGACCAACAGGAGGAACAGGAACAAGCAAAUGUGGACCGAGUCAGCUAAGAUGAUCACUGCAGUUCAAAGAUGUCAAAAUCGUCGACUCAAGUCGCCUUUCCUGAUCAAGAAGGACGACCCUGGUGUUCCAAGCAUCGAGUGCACAAUCAAUGGAUACUCUUUUCAGAAGACACUCUACGACACCGGAUCUGACGUCAACAUAAUGGCCGCAGUCACUUAUCAGCUCCUGCAUGAAACCAUGCCCCUACAACCAAUAUAUAUUCAGCUCCAGAUGAUUUUCAGAUCAUUGACAUGGGAGAAGACGAGUACGAUCCACCCAUCAUCCUUGGAAGACCUUUCCUCAACACUAUCAAAAUUAUCAUCUACAUUGGAAUUAGAGAAGUCCACGUGUACUUCCUGAGAAGGUACACCGCUAUUUUACUGACUCUAACUAUAUAGUUGAAGACUCUAAGCAGGUCAGGACAAGAAGAAGACAACGCAACCGCAACCAGAGGAGGCAAAUCAUCAAGGACGGAUGGGUAGACUACGAAGGAGAAGUGAUAAGGUUUGAAGACAUAUAGUUUGAACAGAACUGUCCUGAGGAGACCGUAGCACCGAGUCAGGUGUGGAGAGAGAAGAUAGUUACACACGAAGAGGAGGCGCCGCCGGAACCACCGACUACGCCACCCAGCGAAUCCCAGGACGACUAAGAAAACGGAGAGUCCCGUUCGGAGGACUUAAAAAUACCGAACACCUUGCCAAGAGGUAAACUUGGUAGUUAUCCUUUUCCAUUCAAUAGUUUGCUUAGAUAAUCAGGUUCAUGCUAUCUUGAAAAGAAAACAAAAAUGUUAAAAAAAUAGUAAGCCCCAUGUGAGUAUGCUCAUGGAAUAAAACCCAUAAGUACAUUCACUGUGGUGGCAUAAAAAUAAAAUAAAUAAGUUUUCAUCUUACAAUAAAAAUAUAAAAAUAAUAAGUGCAUGAUCCUGCUAAAUAAGUAAUAUUUGUUGAUGAGGCUCAACAUGAUAAAGGCUAGAUAUUUAUGCUAACACUUAACCAGUUCCACAAAGCUUUGUUGUCUAUUUGAGCUCCACAGGAUUCAAGGAUCAAAAAAGACUAGUAGACGGAGGACGUCCUAAUCGCUGUCAGGGUGCUGCCGACUUUCAAAUACACCUCCACCCUGCUAGCUACAUCAGAAGAAAUUACGUCAAAAUCCAGCUUGGGGGAGAGCACCCCCAUUUAUCCAGCUAAGUGUUUCUACUCGCAUUUAUACUCAAAUAAUAAAAGAUGUAUAAUCAUGAAAACCCAAAUAAAGAUUUUGUGCUUUUAUAUAUCUUUGCUUAGUUUGCUAAAUAAAUAAAUAAAUAAAGUUUACUAUGAACCCUCAUGAUAAGCUCUCACAUGGAAAUGAUGAAUAGUUGCUCUGCCAUGACUAGUUCUUAAAAUUGAAAUCUCUCUCAAGUUUAGGCAUAACUGUUAUGAAUUAAGAUUUGCUCUAAACCUGAACUUGUGGGAAGAGUACUUGAUCUAAAGUCUAAGUCGUUAACGGAUAUGAUAUGGGAAGGUUGAGCUGCUGUUUAUCUGUUUCUAGAGAUGCUAGAAUUCUGGAGAAUUUUAUCUUUGAAAAUCUUUAAAAUAACACAUGAUGAGUUCCUGUAUGAUGAGAGUUUAAAAUGCUACCACAGCCACAUAUACAUGCUUAUUAGACUAUGAACCAUAUAUUUACUUUUUACUGCUUAUGAGCAUUGAGUGUGGUCAAGCUGUGUAGACCCUUAGGAGCUUGUCAUGUGGUUAAAAUCAAGAUUCACUUGCAUGUUCACUCGUAUAUGCUGCUUCUAUUCCGGAAGUACGCAUCCACAUACAUCCACUCAUUUCCAUCUCCAGAGUCACCCAAAAUUAUUCUACUCCUAAUCCGGGAGAGAAUAGCCAAAAAACAUUUUCCUAUCCCUGUUAUUCCCUGUGAAAUAAAUGCUCCAGUUAUUUUGGUUACUACCACUUGCUACAUUAUUUCAAGAGAUGAGUGCUCUAAAAAAAGAAGAAAAAAAAUAAUAAUAUACGAGGAAAUAAAAAGGGGCAAGUGCCCGGAACCUCGAAGAAAAGAAAAAGUGAGACGAGAGGUAAAAAUGGACAAGUGUCCGACAGUAGAAUUAGGGGUACAAGAUACCCACCUAAGAGGAAAGAAAAAGAAAAUAUAGAGCAUCUCAUUCUCCUCAAAAAGCUUCAAAGUGCAAGAAAGGUAUGUAUCCCCUUAAAAGAGCAAAAGUAGAAUUAGACUUUCACCAUUGUUAUCACCAUCAUCACCAUACACCAUUCAUUCGCCACACAUGCACAUCUUGAUUUGACUUAUUGACUUGUUUCUCUGGAUCCAUGGUUUGACUAUGCAAUAAAUGUCUUGUAAGUAUGUAUUAGCUGUCUCCCACCUAUGAGCUCCAGAUAUCAAAACUUUAUUAGAGUAGGGUGAGAGAGAAGGCAAUGUCACUAUGUCUCAUACCAGAAAUACCACAUACUUUGAGAGAAGGCAUAUACCAUUACUGCCUUGGUAAGGAUCCAUAAAUACCACAAAAGAGAGAUAUAAGAGAGUCAUACAAGGAAUCUCUGAGUUUUAUUUGAAAAUCUGCAAAAACUCCAAAGCUAUAGCUGAUCAAGAAUAAGAGACAUGGCACUUGACUAGACUGUUCUAUCUUUUAACUGCUCAAGACACAAGUGACGGUUACAAGCCCCAUGGUGAAAGGUAAAAUGAGUAAGUUUUAAGUCUUAACAGUUUAUUCUAACUCAGAGAUGAGAUCUUGCUUGAAUGGGUGUGUAUUUUUAAGGCAUGAAACCAC